rnacentral:misc_RNA from 1 species
GCCAAUUAACCCAACUUUCUCAAUUCAUAAAGAAAACAAUUAUUUUAAGUAUUGAAAAUAACAGCAAAAUGAUUCUAUGUUCAGCUCUGUUUUGUUUUAAAAAGAAAAGGAAAACAGAAUCAAAGCUAUACCACUUACAAAAACUCAACAUUAAUACCCAAGAAAAACAUAGAUACAGACCAAGUUCCCCUUCCGUUACUCUCCUUUCAAGAGCAAGAUGAAGUUAGAGGAACCAAAGAAUGUAAGAAGAGUGGACUUCUUUUCCAAACCACGAAGCAUAUUCUUCACCUAAUCGAUUCUCAAUCUUCAUACAAGAUAAACCUUGCAAUAUCAUUAAAUCCAGCCUCCUUAUAACAUUCAGCAAUUCUCUCUCUGACUUCAGCCCAAGUUCCUUCAAUAGAAGCUAAAUCCAAUAAAAAGGCAGCCUCAUCCAAUGCAAUCUACAUGGCAAAUCAAUAUAAAGUAUUCCACACACUUCCAAUAAUACUUGGACAAGUUUUUCAAAGUUUCUCAUGAAGUUGAGAAGUUUUUUAAUCCAGUAAGAAGAAUUGCACCAAAUUGUUACCUGGGCAGGUGCCUUUCCCUUCUUUAAAUCCUCUUGUCUACCCUCUUCAGUCACCUUCUCCUUUAUGUACUCAAUUUGCUCAUCCCCCCAUUGUGCAAUGCUAGCAACCUCCUUAUAAUCAUUAUCACCAAACAAGGCAAUAAAACUGGCAAGUUAAAAGUAGAAGAUAGUUCUCCAAAAGAAUGGUGUCAAUAGAUUAAAAAAGGGUUAAAUACCUGGUAUGCACAACCUAAAGUCCACCAAGGUGAUUUCAAAGCUACCCUUGCAGCAUCUUUAGCUUCUGAGGUAUGUCUAACUCUACAUCAGCAAUCCAUAACAUUCUCUUGAGGAAUAAUUUAUUGAAUGGGCUCAAAAAUAUGGAAAGUACUGGAUAAGAUUUGUACAAACUUCUGCAAAAUCUCUGCAUAGAAUACAAAAGGCCGUCCAAAUCCUGGAAAUAGAUCUUUCUUUGUAUAAAACUCUCCCGUCACCAUUGCUGAAACCUACCACUCAGAAGUAUAUGAGAAUUUGCUAAGGAAGUAGCUUAUUAAUGAACAAAGUUAGAGACAACUUACAUAGUCCCCUUGCUCAAAAUGGUGCAUAACUUUGCGCUCUAACACAUCAGGAAACAGCCCAACCUUUUUCAAAAUAUAUGAAUCAAGACUUGCAACCUGAGAUUCAGCAAAAUCACCCUUUCUGUAUAGUUUCUUACCAGCUUCUGAAGAAGCAUCAUAGAGUUCACCAUUACUCCCACAGAAGUUGUUGGCAUCUUCUUCAACCAGAGUUCUAUGGAUAUAUUGAUCUACCUGUGUUGCCACCACUGUAUAGUAUAAGUCGUCUUCAUGUAGGUACUUUAAACACAUUAUCCCACGAUUAAAAAUUUCCCAACCAAGACUCCCAAAAAUACAUAAAUAAAUAAGGGAAAAGAAAAGAUAAAAAAAUAAUGUGGGAAUGCCAAGGUGCCAAAGAAUGUGAUUUAGUACAUCAUAAAAUUAUGCACAUAAGUGUAUAAUGUGGCCAUCUAAUUAUACACAUCAAGGCAUGCUUUCAGUUUAAUGUAUUACAUUCUUGGCUAAAAGCCACACCCCAUGCUUGCGAACUUCCACAACUGGCAUCUCCAUUCCAGGUGGAGCUGUCGGCCACCGCAGCAGUGCAGUUAAAGAACCUAGUGGCAAAGAUAAAAAUGAUAAACAGACAGUUUUCAAAUGAAUGCCCAUGACUAAUGCGCAUAUUAUGAUAGAGUCUGUCAUAGAACUGCUCCCCACUUGUCAGCACUUCAUCAUAAAAGGAUUCAUCUAACCUGACAAAUUUUCUGAUAGGGGAAUUACAAGGGGAAUUAAUCCUUGCCUGGAUCCAGGAGAAAUAAUUGUUUCACCUGUAACCAAAAAGGUAACAUACAGUAGCAAUUAAUAAAUGAAUCCGAGUGUAAAAAGUACAGGCACGUUGUGACUUGCAAGUUGCAUAUAUUGUAGGGAAAAAUAACAUUAGAAUAUAAAAUAUAUUCCAUCUGAAUGCCAAGUGUUAGUGAUUUGCCUAGUGUUAGUGAAUGUGCAGUUCCAAAUAAAUUUUUGAGGACAGAUUUAGCAUAUCUUAGAAGAUUAAAAUCCUUUCUCUAAUUGGACACUGUAAGAAAUCAAGAAAUUGCAAAACCUGAUAACAAAAUAGUUGUUCUGUAGUUACCUCAUUUUUUUUACAGGUGGAUGCCAUAGAAAGAGAUAAAACAAUAUCAUUGCUAAAAUAAUCAAACCUUCAGUAAGAAAAAUCACUUCAUCAACAAUAAACAAAUUUCAGUGUGUUAUAAAUAGAGGAAAAGAGAGCACUCUUUAAGAAACGGAGCCUUCUAUGCCACAAUAUAAUGUUACAUUUUUCCAAUCAAAUCCCAAUAUUGCAGACAGAAUGAGCAAACAAACAUUUUCUAAAUGAUACUUGGAAAAGUAUGACAAACUGCAUCAAACAUGGAGUUAUGAGAACCAGGCCCAUUUUAAUGGAGUGAUUUAUAGGCAAGGGGAGCAAGAAUAACAGAAACCAGAGAGACAAGAGGUGCAAAAGAGCAGUAAAAAAGAUUCAUACAAAAGAUCAAAGUUCUGAGCAUUCACAUCAAAGAAAUAAAAGCACAUAUAAAAAAGUUAUCCUAAACAAUAAGUAAAAAUGGUAUCCAUGUUGAAACUGUGGCUCAUAUUCAGAGAAUGUACUGCAAACUGAAAGCUCUAGGCCAAGGGGAGGGGGGUUCCCCUGUAAAAUGGUCAGUACUGUUAGCUAGGGCAGUUCUAAGUAUGGGAGGUUAUUAUUGUAUUCUGGGUUUCUCUUAUUCCUAAUAUAAAAAGGAAAACCCUAGUCUAUAUAAUUGGUGCUUGUGACCUUCUCCUUCAUAGUGAAAAAUCACAAGUGGCUUUCUAUGAAUGUAGAGACAUUACCAAACAGUAUCAAAUUCCUUAUGUCUUAUUUUCUAACGUUCUGUGUUUGUUUUUGUGUGUGUGUGCAUGUGUUUGUGUGUAUCUUAUGUUAGUUACUUCUCAAAAACCACCCAUAGUCAGAAAAAAUUGUGAAUGUAAUAAACAAAUAAUACUACAAUGGCAAAGCUCUACAACUUGCAUUGAAACAAAUAAUGGCACAUCAUGAUCAAAUUACAAUCAUAUAUGGUCAAUACUGAUACACGUGUAUCAUAUAGUUAUUUCAAGGCACUAUUGCAUUGUAUUUCAUAGCAUUUAGGUAGUUAAUUGCAUGCAUUUUACUUAAUUUCAUUAUUUUUUGUUAAUUUUGUUAAUCUCUGCUUAAUUUCGUGUUUUCUGUAUCUUUUCAGGUGUUUUAAGGAAGAUCCAAGGCAUAAAAGUCAAUUGGACAAGUUUGGAAAUCAAAAAAAGCAAGAAGGGCUACUGCAUAACAUUACACAGGUUGUGUAAGUAUGGAGUUUGACCCGUGUAACUUCUGGUCAAGAGAGAUUGAAGAAGGCAUAAAACAACCACAGUACACGGGUUGUGUGACAAACCCCGUGUAAAUCAUCAGCCUUGUGUAAUCUUUUGGAAGCCAAAGACCUAGAGAGCCAAGGAGAGACAACAGUACACGGGCUGUGUUAAUAGCCCCGUGUAAACUUCCUAACCCCCAUGUAACCUGUUGUUUCCCUCAUGAACGAAGCCCAAAUUAGUCCAGAGACUUACACAGCCCUGAGCCUUGUAGUGCCACAUGGGCCGUGUACUUUGCAGUAGAUAGACUUCUGUUUCGACUCCAAUUCCCUUUCACUCAUUCCGAAAAGACUUCUAAAGCUCUUAAGACUCUGAAAUGUGACUCUGAAGCACCUUAUAUAAAUACUAAAAGACCAAAACAUGCAAAAGAGCUUUUAGUUUAAGUUAGAGUUAAUUUUAGUUUACAUACAAACCCUAGUUUUCUAAGCAACUUAGAAAGAAUCGGUAUCAGCAUCAAAAAGAAGUACUCUCAGCUAAAAUUCCAAAAGUUCAAGGUUGUAGAAUCUUUGUUCUCGGAUCUUUUGUUAUAUUUCUUUAAAUUGUCUUAUGCUAUUUUAUUUUAAUUUCAGUAUGAUUGUUAAACUCACCAUGAGUUAGUAGUUUAUUUAAUUUUAGAAUUAGAAGACUAACACUUUCAAUGUCUGUUAUGGACAUAUAUUAAGGUUAUUUAAUGGAUUUGAGUUUUGUUAUUUGAUUCAAUAUUCUGUGUUUUUAACACAUGCUAUAUGUUGAUACCCACUUAGUCAUGAUAUUAUAUACUAGUUAAAGAACUGAAAGGUGAAGAUUUGUAUUAGAAAUCAGAAUUUUGAACCAAGGAAAUCUGACUUAGAGAUAGACUGAAAUCUUUUGUGGAAUCUCAUAAUUAAUCAAAGAGCUUAAAGGGUUUAGAUUAAUUAAAAUGCACCUUAGGUGCCUUGAGAGAGGACUUAAAAUGCUU